CCUACGGGAGGCUGCAGUGAGGAAUAUUGGUCAAUGGGCGCGAGCCUGAACCAGCCAAGUAGCGUGAAGGAUGACUGCCCUACGGGUUGUAAACUUCUUUUAUAAAGGAAUAAAGUGAGGCACGUGUGCCUUUUUGUAUGUACUUUAUGAAUAAGGAUCGGCUAACUCCGUGCCAGCAGCCGCGGUAAUACGGAGGAUCCGAGCGUUAUCCGGAUUUAUUGGGUUUAAAGGGAGCGUAGAUGGGUUGUUAAGUCAGUUGUGAAAGUUUGCGGCUCAACCGUAAAAUUGCAAUUGAUACUGGCAGCCUUGAGUACAGUUGAGGGAGGCGGAAUGCGUGGUGUAGCGGUGAAAUGCUGAGAUAUCACGAAGAACACCGAUUGCGAAGGCAGCUUACUAAACAGCCACUGACAUUGAGGCUCGAAAGUGUGGGUAUCAAACAGGAUUAGAUACCCUGGUAGUC
rnacentral:rRNA from 1 species